UCUGGAUAAAUCCAGGCAGAUAUAAAACUAUAAUAUCCAUCCGGAUUGGUUACGGAUCCUGUUAUUUAACCGGAUCUUAUUCGUAACCGGCUUUAAGAUUUCAAAUUCAAAAAGCGUUGUCACGUUGUCCACUUGCCCGUAGGAUGAUUCCCCUUCCCCCAAGAAAACAAAAGCUAAAUUGUAAAAACUAAAAAGUAAAAAUUUCCUCACUUCUCGAUUUUCUCUCUCUCUCUCUCUCUUCCUCGGCGAAACCGAAGCAUCCUUAAAUCAAAUCCAUCGCCGCCGGUGACUGUAGUGGCCGAGGUCUGUUAACGUCAGUUUCUUCUCUCUACUCGCGUUCUUAUGUAGUGUAUCUCCCUGAGGGUCCAAGGCCUCCAUUGCCAGAGGAGCUAAGGGAGAUGGCCCGUGAACUAGCUCGCAAAAAAAAAAAAAAAGAAAAAAAAAAAACUACUGAUCAAUGUUCUUUGGGUUUGUAAGUGACCAUUUGUAUCUGUUCAUUUGUAUUACUAGUGCCUCUUAAAAAGUCAUAAUACAUGUAAUAUGCGGAAACAAACCCAGUGGAGUUCAUUUUUGAAGUGGAAUAAUUUUUAUGGUUUUCAUAUUGUUUAUAAAUCACUUUCGUUUAUAUUUUUAUUGGCUUAAGAGUUGCGUGUUUUCUUUCAUGGGCAAAGCUGAGGGACUUGGAGAAAAAAUUCUUGCAUAAUGGAACCCACCCUUGAAAUCUGUAUACCUUAAAGAUCUACAUAAUUUCACAGCAAUCUCAUGCUGAAGCUACAUGAAAUAGGGAGCUUUCUGUAACUAGCUUGAAACUGGUGGGCUUGUAAGUCAAUUGUGGAA